GCUAAGAAUAUUCCGCAAUGGACGAAAGUCUGACGGAGCGACGCCGCGUGGAUGAUGAAGGCCGUGAGGUUGUAAAAUCCUUUUGUCGGGGAAGAAUAAGCGUGGGAGGGAAUGCCCGCGUGAUGACAUGAACCGGCGAAUAAGCCCCGGCUAACUACGUGCCAGCAGCCGCGGUAACACGUAGGGGGCGAGCGUUGUUCGGAAUUACUGGGCGUAAAGGGCAUGUAGGCGGUUCUGUAAGCCUGACGUGAAAGGCUAUGGCUCAACCAUGGCAUUGCGUUGGGAACUGCGGGACUUGAGUCACGGAGAGGGAGCUGGAAUUCCAGGUGUAGGGGUGAAAUCUGUAGAUAUCUGGAAGAACACCAGUGGCGAAGGCGAGCUCCUGGCCGAUGACUGACGCUGAGGUGCGAAAGUGUGGGGAUCAAACAGGAUUAGAAACCCGAGUAGUCC
rnacentral:rRNA from 1 species